CACUAGAGACCUCACUUUGAGAUUGGCAUCAAUUCUUUACUAUUUCUCCUUAGUUCGUCUUCUUCCCAGUGGUACAGAUCUGUAAAAUCACUGAGUGGAGUAAAGAGUUCAAAUCUCUAGCUACAGGACUAAAGAAAUCAAUUAACCCAUCUAGGGCUUUAAAUUACAGUCUUGGUUUCACUGGCACAGCAGUCUAACCUCAUGAGAUGUUGGCUAUGCACUUAGCUGGCUUAAUCUUGGCUCCACUCAACUCCCAGGUUUCUAUGAAGGCCAGAACACUUUGGGGGAAUAAGGAUCCUUUCUGUCUCCUUUCCUUUCUGCUGGCUCCACGCACUCUCCUGAUAAGAAGACCCUUAAAAGCCACAUACCACCAACUCAAUGAAAUCGGUCAAUUCCUCGUCCAUAAAGUUCAAAUUGCUUCUGAAUAUUUAUGGACACAUGCACGAAAGAAAACAAAACUCCUGCCACUUGUA